rnacentral:rRNA from 1 species
GGCUCAGGACGAACGCUGGCGGCGUGCUUAACACAUGCAAGUCGAACGAGCUCCAACCAGUGGCAACACUGGGGAAGAGCGAGUGGCGAACGGGUGAGUAACACGUGAGCAACCUGCCUCGAAGACUGGGAUAACAGCGGGAAACCGCUGCUAAUACCGGAUACCCCCAUCGGGUCGCAUGGCCUGAUGAGGAAAUGAAUUUCGCUUCGAGAGGGGCUCGCGGGCUAUCAGCUUGUUGGUGGGGUAACGGCCUACCAAGGCGACGACGGCUAGCUGGUCUGAGAGGACGACCAGACACACUGGGACUGAGACACGGCCCAGACUCCUACGGGAGGCAGCAGUGGGAAUCUUGCGCAAUGGGCGAAAGCCUGACGCAGCAACGCCGCGUGCGGGAUGAAUGCCUUCGGGUUGUAAACCGCUUUCAGCAGGGACGAAAUUGACGGUACCUGCAGAAGAAGCCCCGGCCAACUACGUGCCAGCAGCCGCGGUAAUACGUAGGGGGCGAGCGUUGUCCGGAUUCAUUGGGCGUAAAGCGCUUUAAGGCGGUUCGGUAAGUCGCGUGUGAAACCUCCAGGCUCAACCUGGAGACGCCACGCGAUACUGCCGUGACUAGAGUCCGGUAGGGGACCACGGAAUUCCUGGUGUAGCGGUGAAAUGCGCAGAUAUCAGGAGGAACACCAGUGGCGAAGGCGGUGGUCUGGGCCGGUACUGACGCUGUAGAGCGAAAGCGUGGGGAGCGAACAGGAUUAGAUACCCUGGUAGUCCACGCCGUAAACGUUGGGCACUAGGUGUGGGGGGUUAUCAACGCCUUCCGUGCCGUAGCUAACGCAUUAAGUGCCCCGCCUGGGGAGUACGGCCGGCAGGCUAAAACUC